rnacentral:lncRNA from 1 species
CCACAAUUCAAAAGUGUCAGUUCUUUGGUGCUCAGCUUUCCUUUUGGUCCAGCUCUCCCGUCCAUACAUGACUACUGGAAAAACCAUAGCUUUGACCAGAAGGACUUUUGUAGCAAAGUAGUGUCUGCUUUUUAACAUGCUGUCUCGGUUUGUCAUAGCUCUCCCUUUCUCAUUAUCUCACAUUUAAAUUUCCAGCUGCUCUGUUACCUGCCCCAAGCUAAACCCACCAUUUCUGGCUAGUAAAGCUGGGAGGAGUGCACACGCCUUCAAGCAAGAAGUCAGCAGAUCCAUCCUUUUUGGUAAAAUUCGGCUGCCGUGGAUUCUUUACCAGCUGACUUACCAGGGAAGCUUCACCGAGUCCUUACCAGGUACCAACUUCAAGGAGAAGGAGGGAGGAGACUACACAAGAGACACCGCUCCAGCUGAGGAUGUGCUGAGUCAGCUGACACCCAUGCUCGCGGCACACGGAGUGCGAUGCAGGAAAAUAACCCUCUGGAUGCCCCGUUCACAGUGCGGAGCAGGAGCCUGCCGGAAGAAGGAGGAGGCAGGAAUCACCCCCUUGAGUCUGAGAGUACUGAGAAGGGAAAGGCCGUUGACUUAAACAGGAGGGUAGAUUCGCAAACGGCAAACUCGGGGAUCUGAAGACUCGAGCAGAUUCCAGUGUCAGGGCGCGCCCAUCCCGCCCCUACAAGGAGCACUGCGCAUGCCUCACCACCACUCGGUGCAAGGAGUCAGACUCGCUCCAUUUCACAGACGGCAAAACUAAGGCCAGAAGCACUGUGUUCCUCAGCCUGUAAGACACCGGUGUGCAGGGAAAAGGGCUCUUCUUUGAAAAAAUAAUAUUAAAA